rnacentral:lncRNA from 1 species
CAGCCCUCCGCAGGGGAGCCACACCUGCCCCCCCAGGCAGCUUUGACCUCCCAGUUGCCUGGCUUCGCUCUGCCCCUGUCCCUGCCCCACGGCCAGGGCCUGCAGUGCUCUCAGCAGCUGCUUCUCCGCUUGUGCACGUGUCCGGGAGCCCUGGAGAUGCACUGUCACCUUCGCUCCUGUCCCUGGUACCCUGCCCGUGGUGACAAGGCUGUAUGGGUAAAAGUCCCAUUGUCUUGAGGCCACCCCCCCCAGUGGACUCUGUCUUCAGCCUUCCUCCUGCCAGGCUCGAGGACAGGGUUUGCGCUCAGGGUGGACCUCCCGGACCCUGGCCACUCUGGGACCCCCCGUGGAGGGACCAGCGACGGGCCACAGUCCGCGUUUUUGUGGGUCUUUUGGUUCACAGCCUCUGUCACGUGUUUUGUGUUCAUCUUCCUUUUAGGUUCUUGGUUCCUCCAAGGAGAUGUGGCACAAGUGGCCGAAGGAUGUUUUGCAGCUGGCCCUGGGGAAUCAGGUCCCAGCAGGUGCAGCAGACCUCGACGUGGAAAUAGCCAGCGUGACCAUGUCAGUGUCCCCUGUGGGGCUGGGGGUCAUGGGGGUGGCGGGUGCAGACCGCUCAGCCCUCCCGUCUUCACACUAUUCAGGCAACAGACUCCUCUGAGCUGUGCAGCUGCGGGUGUGGACGAGGGCCAGGUGCAGGACGGGCUGCCGCCCCUCUCUGAGCCUGCCAGCCUGCUGCCCCGGUCCCCAGGCCGGCGUCCCUGCAAGGCCCUGAGGCUGUCCCCAGUGUGGCCUCCCUGCUCUCGGCAGCCACCCUCCCCCCUGGUGAGCGAGGAGCCUCAGAGCUGCCUGGGCCAGGUUGGGCCCCCAGCGCAGGAGAGUGACGUGGCCGUGACGCCGGGCGCCAGGUGGGUGCCCCGUGGGGUGUGCACGUGGGUGCCGGCGGCUCACGGGCCGCCCGCACCCUGCCUGGGCCGGCUGCCCUUCGCGUCCUCCGUGUCGGCUGGCUCAGCCUGGCUCUGCCGGCUGGCUUUCUGAUGUGUGUUUCUGCAAGUCUGUUGUCUCCCUAAUUGUCUUCU